rnacentral:rRNA from 1 species
GACGAACGCUGGCGGCGUGCUUAACACAUGCAAGUCGAACGGAAAGGCCUUUUCGGAGGUACUCGAGUGGCGAACGGGUGAGUAACACGUGGGUGAUCUGCCCUGCACUCUGGGAUAAGCCUGGGAAACUGGGUCUAAUACCGGAUAGGACCGCACUUUAGUGUGUGUGGUGGAAAGUUGUUUCGGUGUAGGGUGAGCCCGCGGCCUAUCAGCUUGUUGGUGGGGUAAUGGCCUACCAAGGCGGCGACGGGUAGCCGGACUGAGAGGUUGGUCGGCCACAUUGGGACUGAGAUGCGGCCCAGACUCCUACGGGAGGCAGCAGUGGGGAAGAUUGCACAAUGGGCGCAAGCCUGAUGCAGCGACGCCGCGUGGGGGAUGACGGCCUUCGGGUUGUAAACUCCUUUCGCCAGGGACGAAGCGUUUUGUGACGGUACCUGGAGAAGAAGCACCGGCUAACUACGUG